UCGCAUCCAGGUUACAGUAUUGAAAUUAGAAUCUACCACUAUUAUUACACAACAUCUCUUACCAAAUCAGAUCAUCUUCGAUAAGAAGAAUCACUGUCAACUAUUCCAGCUUGCACCAACCUCAUCAACUUUCCUGAACACUCCUCGACCACUGGAUCCUCAACUCUGUCUCCUCGCCUAGCAUUAGCCUUACUCACAAUCUCAAUCAAUCAUCUCAUCUUUAAGCCUUUCUGAAAUGGUUAGAAAGGAAUAGCAAGGGUGAGCAACAAUGCUCAGCAAGUAAUAAUAAACAAUGAUAGUUCUGAAAUGAUAUAACAGAAGUUCACGAGUUCAAGAUAUAAGAGGAUUCAACCUGAGUUCAUGAGUUCAUGGUAUUGUAUAGAAUGAUUUACAAUACCUUGCAGCAUUUAAACUGAGAAAUUCAAUCUUUCCAAAGAAUUAUUGAAUUGGACUAUCACAUUUUAAUUAAAACCAAGGUUAGGCAGCUGAUCAGUUCCGCACUAACCCCGAGCAGGCCCCGCCAUGCUCUAUCACUGGAUCCAAGGCACUCAUUGGCCUAACAUGACCACGAAUCUGGUCCACAGGUUUAUAUAAAAACAAUAAUCCAAUUCUCUAAUUCAAUUCAAGAAGCCAAUGUAAAUUAACAGAACAUCAUCAUAAAUAUCAUCAACAACAGAAUAAUUCCAAUUCAAACUUUGAUAAUAAUCUAUUCAUAAAUCAUGAUCCAUCAUUUCAUAAAUCACAGUUCAGGAAAUCCUCAACUAUUCAGUAUCCUCCAUUAUCGGCUAAGCAACUGAAUUUAGCCUGCUAAACCAGCAUGACAAUGGCGGGUUGAAUAAUCAAGAAGAUCCCAAUUCAUUCAAAGCUCUAACUAUCACUGAGCAACACAUGCUUCAAUGACAAUCUGAACUUCGAAUUAAUUUGUAAAACGGAAAUUCUUUAGAAACUUGAAGAUUAGAAAGAAUGGGUCAGAAUACUCGCACUUUCGAACAUUGAAAAGAAAGGUAUGAAUACUUGAAACAUAUACCAAAGGAAUGGAUCAGAAUAUUUGCAAUAUAUCCAAGAGAAAGGUUUAGGAUACUUGCAACACAUAUAGAAAAGAAUGGAUCAGAAUAUGCAAUAUAUCCAAAAGCAGGGUGUAGGAUACUUGCCUUAAAUCUGACUCCCGUCUCACAGCUCAUUCUCAUCUUUCAACUUUCACAAUCUAUGCAUCUCGUAAUCUCUAGACCAUCUCUAGCUAUACUCUAUUCGCCACAUCGCUUCGCUUACUCGAUUCAUCCCUUAUUCGCUUUGCAAUACCAUUCCGACUUUCUGACGUCUUCGAGCGUACACGUCUCGUCCAAAUCCUUUACGAGAAUAAGAUAAUACUAUAGUCACUAAACAAUAUAUCGCAUAUACAUAUCACGUAUAUCGAUACCCACUUAUAUAUCCCUUUAAACUUAUCAGAUACCACGUAACACAUAAGCAUGCUUUGACUCUAACAUAUAGUCAAUCAUAUUCCACAUAACAUAUCACCAAUCAAUUAUCAUAUAAAUCCUUAUCGAAAAUCCGACAUCGUCUCGUCUAUGUAUAAGACUAUCCACCUGUUAUCCUAUCUCAAUCAUUAAUCAACCAACAAAAUCCAAUAACUAUAAUCCAUAUAUUCUUAUCCAAUAUCAAUCAUACGAAUCAUUUAUCACUUCACAAUAUCAAAACUAACACGUACUUCACAUAAUCAUCACUUGAUAGCACUUAGAUCACAUAUUAUCACAUUAUGCAUACUUAUCAACAAUUAUUCACCUUAUAGACUCAGCCAUAUAGUCACAUCAUAUUAAAAUAGACGUUAUAAGCUUCUGUCUCUCUUUCGUUUCACUUGAUUCCGACUUACGGAUCAAAAGUUAUGCUCAAAACAGUUUUCUCACUCUCCUAUCGGCACAUAACACAUCCAACCAAUAGCAGACAACACACAACACAUAAGGUUUCCCAUCCCAAUUGAUAUUAAAUCAAGUCUUGGGUUAAAAAUGAUUUUUCGGGAAUUUUCUGGAAUUUUUAAACAUUUUUCGGAAUUAAAAUCGAUAAAAGAAUCACUUUUCGGAUAAAUAAUCAAGUCCCAAAUACUUGAAAUUGGACUUGAAAUCAUUCAUAAACAAUUAUCGAGCCUUGAAAAUAAUUUGGAAAAAUAUUUUAAAGCUCGAAACUAUUUUUCGGAAUUUUUAAAUCAAAAAGGAUUAAUUAAAUCCAAUUAAUUAACCAAUUAAAAUCAAUUAAUAAUUAAUUAAAAUAAUUAAUCAAUUAAUAUUUAAAUUAAUUGACCAAUUAAAAUAAUUAAUUACUAAUUAAAAUUAAUUAAUAAACUAAUUUAGAUUUAUUUUUUAAAUAAAGAAAUAAUUAAAAAUCAUUUUUGAAAUUUAAAAUAAUUAAAUAAAACAAUUUUUGAAAAUUAAAAUCAAAAGGUUUAAAGUGUAAAAUUUUGAAAGUUUUGUUCAGGGUUUAAAGUGUAACUUUCAGAAGUUACAGGGGCUGUUUCGUAAGUUUCAAAACCUCAGUACUCAAACUUCACCAUCUUCAUAAGUUGGGUGACCAAACGGCAAUUUGCCGCCGGCCACCACUAACUUCGCCGGAUUCGGCGUUCUUGGCGUCCAUUCGACACCAAAACCUCCAGAUAAACUCUAUAUGCUACCCACAACUCGUUUCUGAAAUCAAAAUCAUCAAACAAGGUCUAAAUUGGCCGUAAAAUCCGGCCAAAGUUCAUCCGCCGCCGGCGAGCUUUCAAGCUCCGGCGUGCUUUAAAAACGAAACCUCCCUACUUUUUGAGACCACCAAAUGAUUCCUCAUCUCCUAUUCUAUCUGUUUUCACCCUCCAUACAUCCCCAGAUUCAACCGUUUGCAAAGCCCCAAAAUCGAAUUGAAAACAUUCAAGAACACUCAAGAACACCCCUCAAGAAUCAAACCCACUUUUCUAGGUGUUAUGGAACUCAAAAAUCAACAUAUAAUAUACCAAAACGACGAGAAAAACAUGCUCUACAACAUGGAAUCAUCAAAACAAUCAAACAAACACGUUUGCAAAAAUUCACUAUUUAAAUCAUAAUAAUUCGAAUUUUAAAACUUCAAUUACUCCCUACCUGUGAAUCUCAUGUUGUUUUUGAUGAUUGAUUUGGGUUCUACUCUUCGAUAUCUUCGAUUUGACUAUUCGCACGCUUGAUUCUGACUCCAAUAACACCUUCAAAUCUUCGUUUGAUUAUGAAGAACACGAAGAACACCGCUCGGUUUCUCUCGGUAUUCGUGCAGAGAAACUGGUGAAAUGAUUUUACGGGUGAAAAUAAGCUCUAGAAAGGUCUAUUUAUAUUUACAAAUAAUUGGUACCCCUUUGGAUCGUUUAUGACAUGAAAA
rnacentral:lncRNA from 1 species